rnacentral:rRNA from 1 species
UACGUAGGGUGCAAGCGUUUGUCCGGAAUUAUUGGGCGUAAAGAGCUCGUAGGCGGUUUGUUGCGUCGGCUGUGAAAUCCCGAGGCUCAACCUCGGGUCUGCAGUCGAUACGAGCAAACUAGAGUGUUGCAGGGGAGACUGGAAUUCCUGGUGUAGCGGUGAAAUGCGCAGAUAUCAGGAGGAACACCGGUGGCGAAGGCGGGGUCUCUGGGCAACAACUGACGCUGGAGGAGCGAAAGCGUUGGGGAGCGAACAGGA